rnacentral:rRNA from 1 species
GGAGGGUGCAAGCGUUGUUCGGAAUCACUGGGCGUAAAGCGCGUGUAGGCGGCCUUUUAAGUCUGAUGUGAAAGCCCGGGGCUUACCCCCGGAAGGGCAUUGGAGACUGGGAGGCUCGAGUACCGGAGAGGAAGGUGGAAUUCCUGGUGUAGCGGUGAAAUGCGUAGAUAUCAGGAGGAACACCGGUGGCGAAGGCGGCCUUCUGGACGGCUACUGACGCUGAGACGCGAAAGCGUGGGGAGCAAACAGGAUUAGAUACCCUGGUAGUCCACGCUGUAAACGAUGGGCACUAGGUGUUCGGGGUAUUGACCCCCUGAGUGCCGCAGCUAACGCAUUAAGUGCCCCGCCUGGGGAGUACGGCCGCAAGGUUA